UGGGCAGAACCAGCUGAUGAAGGCUAGACCAUCCCAAUUCACAGCUGAUUACUUCAGGUCUUCGCGGUUUUUACGGCCACCUGUCCUACGUAGGCCAGUCCUUUGAAGGUUGCAGCCCCUGAAUUUGGACAUAGCACUCGGACACUCCAUAAAUGGAUGGCAUUUAAGAACUACCAGAACACAGAAGGAACGUGGAUCAUGGAGUUGGGAAUUCCAGACACGGAGCAUUUCAAGAGUACGAUGAUAUUCACUCCGCAUUUCUGAAGCACAGCCGCCUGUCAAUCUGGCUCCUAUCUCCCGAGGAGAAAGUUAUGCAUUAUGGAAGAUGAGGCAAUCUGUGCUGCUGUUGCCAGACUGUGGAACGUUCUUCCUGACACUGUGAGGGUAUCAUGCACAUGAAGCCUGAAAAUGUGGUGUCCAUAACAUACAUUCAGACCCACUCCACCAGCUCCUACUUGCCAGAGGAGAUACCAUGACAGUGUGUUUAAAAAUUCUCCCACUUUAGAGAAACCCAAAGCAGCCAUUUUUAAUGUCUGCACAAUGAGCUUCACUUCAUUAAAAGAAAACAAAAUAGCCUUUUGUAAGCUUCAUGCAUACUGAUGUCACUUAGGAACAUGCCUAAGAUGUUACUGAAAAGAACAUU